AUCGCUUCUCGGCCUUUUGGCUAAGAUCAAGUGUAGUAUCUGUUCUUAUCAGUUUAAUAUCUGAUACGUUCUCUAUCCGAGAACGACUUAUUAAACGGAUUUUUGGAGUAAGGAGUUGGAGUAGGAGCUUGCUCCGUCCGCUCCGCGCAUCGACCUGGUAUUGCAGUGUUUCCAGGACUGGUGCACCCCUU
ensembl:snRNA U2 U2 spliceosomal RNA